UCUGAUAACUGCUGAUUAGUAAACUACCAGGCUAGAGAGCUACCAAACUGACACAACACGUUUUGCCACAGUUUGUAUCUGUGUUUGUAAAGAAAUUGCCCAGCACCAAAGCCUAACUCACAGAAAAACUCCCAAGACACUACCAAGAUAGUGAGGUAACUUGAAGAGAAGCAUGGCUACACCAGACAGCCAUGAAGAUAACUCUAAGGGCAGUAGGGCCUCAAUAAUCAGCACAAGAAUUCAAAAUUUCUAUACCUUCUGCAUCCAAGCUGAAAGUGUGGCAUUGGCUUGAGUUGAUCUCCACUGGUCUUGUUCUCUCAGUACGCGACCAAGUUGCAGCUCUGGUCGAAAAUUCAUCCGUAGUUUGCACAUCCAACUUCAGUCUCUUCUCAGUUUCACUGUCUAGGAUAUGGAGAAUCAAGAAUAGGAGUCCAUCCACCAUUGAAGAGCGGGUGUGCUUGCUUUCACGAUUACUGAAACAAACAAGAUGCAUUUUGUAUUUUACCCUUCAAAAUAUUCUAAAUAAUUAUGUAGGUUUAAAGGUGACAAAGAACUUGUAUGAGAAAAAAGGAAUCAACAUCACACAUUCAUAAAACAAAUGAGGUGAUCCACAUCACAUUA